rnacentral:rRNA from 1 species
AUUGAACGCUGGCGGCAGGCCUAACACAUGCAAGUCGAACGAGUGGCGGACGGGUGAGUAAUGUCUGGGAAACUGCGAGGGGGAGGGGGAUAACUACUGGAAACGGUAGCUAAUACCGCAUAACAUCGGUUGGGACCAUAUGGGAUUAGCUAGUAGGGGGGGUAACGGCUCACCUAGGCGACGAUCCAUAGAUGGUCUGAGAGGAGGACCAGCCACACUGGAACGGAGACACGUUCCAGACUCCUACGGGAGGCAGCAGUGGGGAAUAUUGCACAAUGGGCGCAAGCCUGAUGCAGCCAUGCCGCGUGUAUGAAGAAGGCCUUCGGGUUGUAAAGUACUUUCAGCGAGGAGGCGUUACUCGCAGAAGAAGCACCGGCUAACUCCGUGACAGCAGCCGCGGUAAUAC